rnacentral:rRNA from 1 species
UACGGGGGGAGCAAGCGUUGUUCGGAUUUACUGGGCGUAAAGGGCGCGUAGGCGGUCCGACAAGUCAGGGGUGAAAUCCUGCAGCUUAACUGCAGAAGUGCCUUUGAUACUGUCGGUCUUGAGGGAGAUAGGGGUGUGUGGAACUUCUAGUGGAGCGGUGAAAUGUGUUGAUAUUAGAAGGAACGCCGGUGGCGAAAGCGACACACUGGACCUUGUCUGACGCUGAGGCACGAAAGCCAGGGGAGCAAACGGG